rnacentral:rRNA from 1 species
AUAUUGGACAAUGGGGGCAACCCUGAUCCAGCCAUGCUGCGUGUGUGAAGAAGGUNUUNNGAUUGNANAGCACUUUAAGUUGGNNNNNAGGGCUUUAGGUUAAUACUCUGAUGUUUUGACGUUAUCAACAGAAUAAGCACCGGCUCACUCUGUGCCAGCAGCCGCGGUAAUACAGAGGGUGCAAGCGUUAAUCGGAAUUACUGGGCGUAAAGCGCGCGUGGGUAGUUCAGUAAGAUAGGUGUGAAAUCCCCGGGCUUAACCUGGGAACUGCUUUCAUAACUGCUGGGCUAGAGUACGGUAGAGGGUAGUGGAAUUUCCUGUGUAGCGGUGAAAUGCGUAGAUAUAGGAAGGAACACCAGUGGCGAAGGCGACUACCUGGACUGAUACUGACACUGAGGUGCGAAAGCGUGGGGAGCAAAC